rnacentral:tRNA from 1 species
GCGCUCAUAGCUCAGCUGGAUGGAGCAUUUGAUUGCGGUUCAAAAGGCCAGAGGUUCGAAUCCUCUUGAGCGCACCA